GACUCACCUAGCCUAAGAAUCUUCAAUCAUGAAAUUAUUCUUAUCCUCAUCAUUCAUUGUAUCAUCACUUUCUUCAUCCUCAUUAUUCUUUUGUUCCUCUUCAAAAUCCAAAAUUCGUCACUUCCUUUGAGCAGCCAAGAACUCAAAUCUAGAAAGUACAAAUGAGAAAACUUCCUUCAUAAAAGUUAUUCAUUUACGUGAUUUAUAUAACAUGCUACAUUUUCACCUCAAUCCAAUUAGUACAGACUCCGAAAAGUUGGUGUUCUACUCUGCAUACUUUCGAGGACGAACUCGCACAAGGUUAAGCUAGGUGGACAUGAGGAUUCAAGACGAAGUUUGAGGAAGCGGGUUUCAACUAAGCUGCUAGGCUUUUAUUGUUUAUUUGUGUAGUUAAUAAUUGUAAGUAGUCAACCGUUUGAUAAAAAUCUUAGUGUGUAUUUAACUACGAGUUACUGUGACUCUAAUUUUGUGUUGUUAAUUAAAUUUGUAUUAUUUGUGGCUCUAUUUCUCAUCAUAUCAUGGUUGUAGGAUUUUUUUUUUCUUAUGACUAUGGUAUGACUCACACCGUGAUUCGAGAAUAUUCCUUUUUUUCGAAUCGGGUCGUGACAUUCGUAUUCCCAUUACUCCUCCACGUUUGUGGUGUGAUAAUGUCAGUGCAAUCUCCCUUACUUCCAAUCUCGUAUUUCAGUCCCACAAUCGUCAUAUUGAGGUUGAUUAUCACUAUGUUCAAGAGAAAGCCAUUCGCAAGGAGCUUGAAGUUGAUCACAUUUCGUCUACGGAUCUGCUUGUUGAUCUUCUAACCAAGGGUCUUUCCACUCUUCGGUUUUGCUAUUUACUCUCCAAGCUUCCCGUUCUUUGUUGUCCGCUCAGCUUGCAGGGGCGUGAUAAACCUUGUUAGGCAGUUACCAUAGUCCUGACUAGUAACGGGUGGUUUAAAGACAAUGAGUGCCAGCAUGUAAUUGUUUCUGCUGUUAUGAUAUUAUUAGGUUGUAAAUACAUUUUCGUUAUGUAGUAACUGAAAGGUUUACAUUCAUAUACCCUGUGUAUAAAUAGAUUGUAAUAUCUGUUUUUGGAAUAGAAGAAAACUAAGAUUCUUUCAUAAUGAA